rnacentral:lncRNA from 1 species
GUGUGAGGGGCUGAGCACUGCGGGGGGCCGCGUCGCGAGGGAGACUGAGGAGGAAGUGAGAAGAAACUGCUAAGGUGCCUCAGUGUAUUCCAAGCACUUCAGAGACAUUGAAUCAAGGCAGUUGGAGGCAGCAUAGACUUAUUUCACCUUCAUCCUCCCACCAGGGAAGGAUACAAUCCUUUCCACAAGGAGGCUCGCAAAACUUUCAGAUGUCACUCAGCUAUAAACCAAGCAAGUGCAUACAUCUCUGAAGGGCUGCAGACUCUGAAUGUGAAGUCCCUAGGACAGACACCCAUGUGAUUGUUCCUUGACACGUCUGGCAAGGUCAGAUUAGUGCAGUUUGGGAUCUUGGCACACCGCUCGAACACUGAGAGCAGAGAGAGGAGCAGAGCUGCUUUCUCCUCUCCUCUCCGACUC